rnacentral:rRNA from 1 species
GACGAACGCUGGCGGCGUGCUUAACACAUGCAAGUCGAACGGCAAGGCCCUGCUUUUGUGGGGUGCUCGAGUGGCGAACGGGUGAGUAACACGUGUGUAACCUGCCCUUGACUUUGGGAUAACUUCAGGAAACUGGGGCUAAUACCGGAUAGGAGCUCCUGCUGCAUGGUGGGGGUUGGAAAGUUUCGGCGGUUGGGGAUGGACUCGCGGCUUAUCAGCUUGUUGGUGGGGUAGUGGCUUACCAAGGCUUUGACGGGUAGCCGGCCUGAGAGGGUGACCGGCCACAUUGGGACUGAGAUACGGCCCAGACUCCUACGGGAGGCAGCAGUGGGGAAUAUUGCACAAUGGGCGGAAGCCUGAUGCAGCAACGCCGCGUGCGGGAUGACGGCCUUCGGGGUGUAAACCGCUUUCGCCUGUGACGAAGCGUGAGUGACGGUAAUGGGUAAAGAAGCACCGGCUAACUACGUG